rnacentral:rRNA from 1 species
GACGAACGCUGGCGGCGUGCUUAACACAUGCAAGUCGAACGGAAAGGCCCUGCUUUUGUGGGGUGCUCGAGUGGCGAACGGGUGAGUAACACGUGAGUAACCUGCCCUUGACUUUGGGAUAACUUCAGGAAACUGGGGCUAAUACCGGAUAGGAGCUCCUGCUGCAUGGUGGGGGUUGGAAAGUUUCGGCGGUUGGGGAUGGACUCGCGGCUUAUCAGCUUGUUGGUGGGGUAGUGGCUUACCAAGGCUUUGACGGGUAGCCGGCCUGAGAGGGUGACCGGCCACAUUGGGACUGAGAUACGGCCCAGACUCCUACGGGAGGCAGCAGUGGGGAAUAUUGCACAAUGGGCGGAAGCCUGAUGCAGCAACGCCGCGUGCGGGAUGACGGCCUUCGGGUUGUAAACCGCUUUCGCCUGUGACGAAGCGUGAGUGACGGUAAUGGGUAAAGAAGCACCGGCUAACUACGUGCCAGCAGCCGCGGUGAUACGUAGGGCGCGAGCGUUGUCCGGAUUUAUUGGGCGUAAAGGGCUCGUAGGUGGUUGAUCGCGUCGGAAGUGUAAUCUUGGGGCUUAACCCUGAGCGUGCUUUCGAUACGGGUUGACUUGAGGAAGGUAGGGGAGAAUGGAAUUCCUGGUGGAGCGGUGGAAUGCGCAGAUAUCAGGAGGAACACCAGUGGCGAAGGCGGUUCUCUGGGCCUUUCCUGACGCUGAGGAGCGAAAGCGUGGGGAGCGAACAGGCUUAGAUACCCUGGUAGUCCACGCUGUAAACGGUGGGUACUAGGUGUGGGGUCCAUUCCACGGGUUCCGUGCCGUAGCUAACGCUUUAAGUACCCCGCCUGGGGAGUACGGCCGCAAGGCUAAAACUCAAAGGAAUUGACGGGGCCCCGCACAAGCGGCGGAGCAUGCGGAUUAAUUCGAUGCAACGCGUAGAACCUUACCUGGGUUUGACAUGGAUCGGGAGUGCUCAGAGAUGGGUGUGCCUCUUUCGGGGUCGGUUCACAGGUGGUGCAUGGCUGUCGUCAGCUCGUGUCGUGAGAUGUUGGGUUAAGUCCCGCAACGAGCGCAACCCUUGUUCACUGUUGCCAGCACGUUAUGGUGGGGACUCAGUGGAGACCGCCGGGGUCAACUCGGAGGAAGGUGGGGAUGACGUCAAGUCAUCAUGCCCCUUAUGUCCAGGGCUUCACGCAUGCUACAAUGGCUGGUACAGAGAGUGGCGAGCCUGUGAGGGUGAGCGAAUCUCGGAAAGCCGGUCUCAGUUCGGAUUGGGGUCUGCAACUCGACCUCAUGAAGUCGGAGUCGCUAGUAAUCGCAGAUCAGCAACGCUGCGGUGAAUACGUUCCCGGG